rnacentral:tRNA from 1 species
GCCUAUUUGGCUCAGUGGGUAGAGCGUCAGCCUGUGGACUGAAGAGUCCCUGGUUCGAUUCCAAUCAAGGGCA